ensembl:lncRNA
UUCAGAUCAUGUUUUACUAGAACCUCACAUUUUCCAGGAGGCUUCCCAGUCACAAAAAUGCACUAGGAGCGAGACAAUCUUCAAAGCCUGCGCUCAGCUCACUGCGCUCUGUCAUGGGGAAACUUGGUUUGGAGCUUGAUUAGUUUGAAUUGAAUUUCUCCAUCCCAAACACGUUCCGCUUUUUCGAGACGGACGCCCAGAAAGCAUCUGCAGCAUGUGGCGAGCACAAGGAGUCUGCUGGCGGGGACGUCACAUGGAAUCCAUUAGGCAGUCCUUAACCCGUCACACCCCCCUAAGAAUGCGUGCGCACAUGCUCAAAGCGCACAUCGUGGUGGAAAUAAAACAGAUUAGGAAGUCAAAGAUCUGUCUUUUUCACUCCCCCCUUCUGUCCUUGUCUCCGUUGGUCUGGCUUCCCCAGCGACUGCUCCCGCUUCUAUUUACCCUCAGUAACAAAUGACAUUAAAAGGAGGAGACGUACAAGUACACUGGCCAGAAAGCAAUCAUUUAAUUAUUCUCAGGGACGUGUCAUUGGAAAAGUAAACUGUUUCAGCAUAGUUUGCGUGUGAGGCUCACUCAGAACCAGAAAGUACAAAUAAAAAAAAUUCAACAAGCAGUGUAUCACGCCAAUUUCUUGGGGGAGUCAAUUAAAAGAGAGGUUCAGUUUUCUUAAAACUAAAUUUGCAAUCAAACAUCUUCCAUCAGAGGUCCAUCAAACCAACUUCCACAAAUAUAUGAUGGAUAAAGAAAAAGAACAAUAGUAAUAUACAACAUAUUCAGCACAAUACUAAAAACAAUAUUCAUUGUAUUUUUGACCACCUAUGGCAGUAUUUAAAAAACAAACAUGAAACAUUUGUGUAAUUUGCACGUCAGUGCUUUGAAACCACGCCAUGCUUUGAGUUCAUGCACAUGUCGGUUUGUUUUGUCUGUCUUACAGAAUGUUCCAUCUGUAAGCUGGUUCCUUCUGAUACAGUAGUGUUGUCCAUCUGUUUUCAGACUACCGUACCAGUGAAUCAAACCCCAUAGUUUAACAAUUUGUGACUAUUUGUAGUUUUCUGUUGUGAUGAAUAUGUCCAUCAUUUUGUAAGCACACCUUCUCCUAAGGUAUAGUGCUUCCUAUAUACUUAUAGGCAUUGUCACUGAAUUUCAAAGCAUAACAACUUUUUAGUACAUUGAUUGGAUUUCACUUUAAUAUUUUAAAUAAAUGUGCUUUGUUUUCGCGGUUGGGUGCAGGAUACUUUUAUUACAGAAAAAUAUUAAACUGGUGAUGUACAAAUUAAAGCCAAAAAAUAAAAUAAAAAGAUCUUCAGGGACAUCUAGUGGAUAAUAUGCCAACAACUGCACUCAAAAACAGCAUAAUUGGUGUGCAUUCAGCCUCCAGGGUUCCCACCCAUUUUCAUUGCCAUUGAUUUCUAUAAUAAUAUUUUUAUGACCUUUCACAACCUACAAUUACACAAAAUGUGUACUUUACUCCACAUGUUGGUUCUAAUUAUUGAAUGAAAAUUAAAAAACCUUUGCAUUUUUUUUCUAUAAGGCUUGUUAAGCUACGUCAAUUCAAGUGGAAACUACAUCACCCUGCAGACUUUCACACAAGAAAACAUUAUCAGUGGAAGAGUACAAUAACAUAAUUAAUUUCUUUAGACUUACAUAUGACCAAAUCAAAUGUCAUGACUUCCAAAACUUCAAAUCAAUUUACUUCUUGACUUUUCCAGGCCUAAAAAAUGGGAUAUUAAAAUUACAUGCCUUUUCCAGGAUUUCCAUGACCGCAUGAACCCUGAGACUCAGAGAUCACUUAAAUAAAUAAUUGCCUCAUUUAUCUGAAAUAAAUAUCUGCUUCACAAACUAGUCUGUUCGCCUCUGGCCCCAUAAAAAACAUAUAGUCACAGGUCAUAACAUUCUCCCUAUUCAGUUGCAAAAAACAACAUGCAUAUGGAUUACUUUCAUAUGUAAUAUUUAUGUUUAUGAUUUGAAAUAAUAACAUUAAAUUCUCAGAUAAAAGUUAAUCUGCAGCAGAGGAGUACUGUAAUUUGACUUUUGUUAAUACAGAAACAUUUUAUUUUCUCAGUACUCCUCAUUCAAAUACAAAAAUAGGCUAUUUCAUAGGGCACACCCAUUAGAGGUAUACAUUUACAAUAAAGGAAAACAGACGAGUCAAAUUGUGAUACGGAGUAUGUACACUUAAUAGUAUAGAAAAUAGAAACAUUGAACUGAAAAGGUGCGACUUGUUGAAAAGAAGAAAAAAAACAGCAUAGACAUAGUUCUGAAAUGUUAAUGUCAUACAUAAACAAAUACGUUGAUAUUCUGUUGGCUCACUGCCCUGUUAGUACAGAAACCAAAAUUACAGGGUUAAAGUGUAAAUAUUAACUCUGUAAAUGGUAUCCAACAAAUGAUUAAAUACAUUUUUCAAUCGAUUUAAUCAAUUUCUCUAGUAAAGUUUCCCAUAUUUACAAAAUAUUUCUUUAUUUCAGUAACUGUAAAUUCAACAACUGCAAAUUGCAUGUUUUUUUCAAUAAAAUCUACUCAGCAAACAUUGGUGGAAAACGAAGGCUGUUUUCUACUUCUUCAACACAAACUGAAUCAACCCAAAGUACAACCCAGUCACACCGACUCAACACAAGUUCUAGAGUGAAACAAGUUUCUAUUCGCAAUCACAGAAAUGGACCUGCUAUAAAGGCAGACUUUGGGAGUACGUCAAAGAGGGGAGAUAAGCUAACCAGAUGCACUAGCAGUGCCUUGCAAACUCUGGCACCUCCAGCAGCGUGUGAAGGCUCAGGCUUCCUGGGCUUUCCAGGCCGAAGGCGGCAUGGCAGGCCUCUGUAAACCUGUGCUGCGUGGAGCCCAGGAGGUGGCCAUUCUGGGCGUUGAUGAACGCCAGACGCCCUUGGGUAAAGUCCAGCAGGGUUCCGAUAUGCGUCGGCACGUCCACAAGGAAAAUGUCGGUCUGCACACUGUUGUGGAGCAGCUCAAACCUGCAGCUG